GAUGAACGCUGGCGGCGUGCUUAACACAUGCAAGUCGAACGGACAGGCCCUGCUUUUGCUGGUUUCUCGAUAGCCGAACGGGUGAGUAUCACGUGAGUAACCUCCCCUUGUCUUUGGGGUAUCUUCUGGAAACUGGGGCUCAUAUCGGAUAUGAGCUCCUGCUGCACGGUGGGCGUUGGAAAGUUUCGGCGGUUGGGGCUGGACUCGCGGGUUAUCCGCUUGUUGGUGGGGUAGUGGUUUACCAAGGCUUCGACGGGUAGCCCGCCUGGGAGGGUGACCGGCGGCAUUGGGACUGAGGGACGGCGCAGACUGGUACGGGACGCAACGGGGGGGAAUAUUGCAGAAUGGGCGGAAGCCUGAUGCAGCAGCGCCGCGUGCGGGAAAACGGCCUUCUGGUGGUAAACCGCUUUCGCAUGUAACGAAGCGUGAGUGACGGUAAUGGGUAAAGAAGCACCGGCUAACUACGUG
rnacentral:rRNA from 1 species